GAUCAUGGCUCAGGAUGAACGCUAGCUACAGGCUUAACACAUGCAAGUCGAGGGGCAGCAUGGUCUUAGCUUGCUAAGGCUGAUGGCGACCGGCGCACGGGUGAGUAACACGUAUCCAACCUGCCGUCUACUCUUGGCCAGCCUUCUGAAGGAAGAUUAUCCAGGAUGGGAUCAUGAGUUCACAUGUCCGCAUGNUUAAAGGUAAUUUCGUUCGACGA
rnacentral:rRNA from 1 species